rnacentral:rRNA from 1 species
ACUCCUACGGGAGGCAGCAGUGGGGAAUAUUGCACAAUGGGCGCAAGCCUGAUGCAGCAACGCCGCGUGAGGGACGACGGCCUUCGGGUUGUAAACCUCUUUUAGUAGGGAAGAAGCGAAAGUGACGGUACCUGCAGAAAAAGCACCGGCUAACUACGUGCCAGCAGCCGCGGUAAUACGUAGGGUGCAAGCGUUAUCCGGAAUUAUUGGGCGUAAAGAGCUCGUAGGCGGUCUGUCGCGUCUGCUGUGAAAACUGGGGGCUCAACCCCCAGCCUGCAGUGGGUACGGGCAGACUAGAGUGCGGUAGGGGAGAUUGGAACUCCUGGUGUAGCGGUGGAAUGCGCAGAUAUCAGGAAGAACACCGAUGGCGAAGGCAGAUCUCUGGGCCGUAACUGACGCUGAGGAGCGAAAGCAUGGGGAGCGAACAGGAUUAGAUACCCUGGUAGUCCAUGCCGUAAACGUUGGGAACUAGAUGUAGGGUCCAUUCCACGGAUUCUGUGUCGCAGCUAACGCAUUAAGUUCCCCGCCUGGGGAGUACGGCCGCAAGGCUAAAACUCAAAGGAAUUGACGGGGGCCCGCACAAGCGGCGGAGCAUGCGGAUUAAUUCGAUGCAACGCGAAGAACCUUACCAAGGCUUGACAUAUAGAGGAAAAGGCUGGAAACAGUCUCCCCGCAAGGUCUCUAUACAGGUGGUGCAUGGUUGUCGUCAGCUCGUGUCGUGAGAUGUUGGGUUAAGUCCCGCAACGAGCGCAACCCUCGUUCUAUGUUGCCAGCACGUAAUGGUGGGAACUCAUAGGAGACUGCCGGGGUCAACUCGGA